rnacentral:rRNA from 1 species
UUCCAGAUUUUAAUACGAGCCGUAUCUGCCACCUGAUAUAAAUUAAAGGGUCGCGGUAUUUUGACCGUGCAAAGGUAGCAUAAUCAUUAGUCUUUUAAUUGAGGGCUGGAAUGAAUGGUUUGACGAAAUAUUAACUGUCUCUUUAUAAUUAAUAGAAUUUAACUUCUGAGUUAAAAGGCUUAGAUACAUAUAAAAGACGAGAAGACCCUAUAGAUCUUUAUAUAAAAGUGGUUUUAUUUUGCCUGGAAGUCUUGUUAAUAGAAUCAUAUUUAUAUUGUGUUGGGGUGACAUGAAGAUAUAAUAAACUCUUUAUAACUAUAACAUUGGUUUAUGGGUUGUUGAUCCACUAAUAGUGAUUAUAAGAUAAAGUUACCUUAGGGAUAACAGCGUAAUUUUUUUUAAGAGUUCUUAUCGACAAAAAAGAUUGCGACCUCGAUGUUGGAUUAAGGAAUAUGAUUAGGUGUAGAAGCUUAAUUAAUAAGUCUGUUCGACUUUUAAAUCCUUACGUGAUCUGAUUUCCCAGACCGG